rnacentral:tRNA from 1 species
CAGAAAAUAAUUUAAUUAAAAUAAUAAGUUUGGAUCUUAUUUAUAAAGAUAAAAUUUCUUUUUUUCUGA